AUUGAACGCUGGCGGCAUGCCUUACACAUGCAAGUCGAACGGUAACGCGGGGCAACCUGGCGACGAGUGGCGAACGGGUGAGUAAUACAUCGGAACGUGCCCAGUAGUGGGGGAUAGCCCGGCGAAAGCCGGAUUAAUACCGCAUACGACCUACGGGUGAAAGCGGGGGAUCGCAAGACCUCGCGCUAUUGGAGCGGCCGAUGUCAGAUUAGCUAGUUGGUGGGGUAAAGGCCUACCAAGGCGACGAUCUGUAGCUGGUCUGAGAGGACGACCAGCCACACUGGGACUGAGACACGGCCCAGACUCCUACGGGAGGCAGCAGUGGGGAAUUUUGGACAAUGGGGGCAACCCUGAUCCAGCCAUGCCGCGUGCGGGAAGAAGGCCUUCGGGUUGUAAACCGCUUUUGUCGGGGAAGAAACGGUCUGCGCUAAUACCGCGGACUAAUGACGGUACCCGAAGAAUAAGCACCGGCUAACUACGUGCCAGCAGCCGCAGUAAGAC
rnacentral:rRNA from 1 species